rnacentral:rRNA from 1 species
CGGGGCCCGCACAAGCGGUGGAGUAUGUGGUUUAAUUCGAUGCAACGCGAAGAACCUUACCUGGCCUUGACAUCCCGGGAAUUUCCUGGAAACAGGAGAGUUGCUUUCAUUAGAGAGAACCUGGAGACAGGUGCUGCAUGGCUGUCGUCAGCUCGUGUCGUGAGAUGUUGGGUUAAGUCCCGCAACGAGCGCAACCCUUGCCUUUAGUUGCCAGCAGUUCGGCUGGGCACUCUAAAGGGACUGCCGGUGUCAAACCGGAGGAAGGUGGGGAUGACGUCAAGUCCUCAUGGCCUUUAUGGCCAGGGCUACACACGUACUACAAUGGCCGGUACAAAGGGCAGCGACAUUGCGAGAUGGAGCGAAUCCCGAAAAGCCGGUCUCAGUCCGGAUUGGAGUCUGCAACUCGACUCCAUGAAGUUGGAAUCGCUAGUAAUCGUGGAUCAGCAUGCCACGGUGAAUACGUUCCCGGGCCUU